AGGCAAGGGGAGAGAGUGAAAAAAGAACAACUGAAUUGAAAGGGAAACAAAAGAAACUCUCCCAGAGCAGUCCUAUAAAACUGAUUGAUGACUUCCCUGGAGGACUGUUUCCCAGGUGUAUGGCUGUGUGUGCCCAUGUUUUUAAGUUUGACUGGGGAACUACAACACACGAAAGUGUCUGCUGGAUCUAUUACACCAUGUGAUAUUGAAAGCAGGUUGGAGAAGGUCCAGGCAUUGAGUGUUGGAGAGAAGUGAGCGGCAAGAGCAAAUGUCACCAAAAAAAAAGUUGUAGAGAAUCCAGAGAGAUAUUACUGGGAGGAGUUUGCUGAAUAAAGAAUUUUCUAACCCUAAUGACUAUUUGAUUUUUUUUUUUUUUUUUUUUUUUUUUUUUUUUUUUGUGGAAAUCAAAUAUGCUUUAUCCUGUUAACAAACAAACUUGCAGUCCUUUACAGUUAAAAUGCAUAAACAGACUAGUGAUGUCUUCAGGACUGCUCAGGGACAGUCACAUUAUCCCCAUAAAUAAUGUGCAGGCUUGCAGAAUGGUUUCUUUUCAAAAAGUGCAAAGUGCUACACUGAUUUGGUAUUCAAUGCUUGCAUUAAAGGCAGAUGUUCACUCUGACAUUGAAUUAUGUGAUGCAGAUAUAGUACUGAUCAAGAAAAAAGGAAGAAUGAUGUGUGCUACAUAUAGUACAAAAGUGACCUAUAUGCAUAUGGACAGGAAUAAAUGACCAAGAACAAAAGCACUGUACUGGUGGUAAGUCAUACAUGUGUGAUUAAUAAUGUUUAAAAGAAUGUGUAGUAA